AGCGAACGCUGGCGGCAGGCUUAACACAUGCAAGUCGAGCGGGCGUAGCAAUACGUCAGCGGCAGACGGGUGAGUAACGCGUGGGAACGUACCUUUUGGUUCGGAACAACACAGGGAAACUUGUGCUAAUACCGGAUAAGCCCUUACGGGGAAAGAUUUAUCGCCGAAAGAUCGGCCCGCGUCUGAUUAGCUAGUUGGUGAGGUAACGGCUCACCAAGGCGACGAUCAGUAGCUGGUCGAGAGGAUGAUCAGCCACAUUGGGACUGAGACACGGCCCAAACUCCUACGGGAGGCAGCAGUGGGGAAUAUUGGACAAUGGGCGCAAGCCUGAUCCAGCCAUGCCGCGUGAGUGAUGAAGGCCCUAGGGUUGUAAAGCUCUUUUGUGCGGGAAGAUAAUGACGGUACCGCAAGAAUAAGCCCCGCUAACUUCGUGCCAGCAGCCGCGGUAAG
rnacentral:rRNA from 1 species